CCCCAUAGAAAUAUUUUCUAUGUCAACCUCUUGCACGGUUGCCGUAGUUAAUUUUUCUUUGGGAAU
ensembl:miRNA mir-8196.1 ncRNA